rnacentral:misc_RNA from 1 species
GAUGAAGAACGCAGCGAAAUGCGAUAAGUAAUGUGAAUUGCAGAAUUCAGUGAAUCAUCGAAUCUUUGAACGCACCUUGCGCCCUUUGGCCAUUCCGAAGGGCAUGCCUGUUUGAGUAUCAUGAACACCUCAACUCUUUAUGGUUUUCCAUGAUGAGCUUGGACUCUGGGGGUUUUGCUGGCUCACAGUCGGCUCCUCUAAAAUAAAUCAGCUUACCAGUGUUUGGUGGGUAUCAUGGGUGUGAUAACUAUCUACGCCUGUGGUUUUCUGCCAGAUAACCUUCAGCGAUGGAGGUUCGCUGGGGCUCAUAAAUGUCUCUCUUCAGUGGAGACAGCUUUUUGGACGUUUGAUCUCAAAUCAGGUAGGACUACCCGCUGAACUUAAGCAUAUCAAUAAGCGGAGGA